AGUGUAGGCGGUUACUUAAGUCGGAUGUGAAAGCCCUGGGCUCAACCUGGGAAUGGCAUUCGAUACUGGGUAACUAGAGUUUGGUAGAGGUAAGUGGAAUUCCGGGUGUAGCGGUGAAAUGCGUAGAUAUCCGGAGGAACAUCAGUGGCGAAGGCGGCUUACUGGACCAAAACUGACGCUGAGGCUCGAAAGCGUGGGGAGCAAACAGGAUUAGAUACCCUGGUAGUC
rnacentral:rRNA from 1 species